CAUUCGUUCUCCGUUCGCACCCAGUGCCUCCUCCAGUUAGGGUUACCGCCGCCGCCCUCCCCCAUGCUCGUGCCCUUCAUCUCCCGCCCCGAGCUCCAUCUCCUCCACCCGCGGCUUGUGCUCCGUCCUUCCCUCCUUGUUGGCGCUCAACCUGGCGAGCGUGAACCGCCGCAAACCGCAGCAGAGGGAGACGUGGAGAGGACAUCAGGCCGAGUGCCAUUUAAAAUACAGUGAUCUACAAAGUUGGGCCGUAUAGCUUCCGAGCUGCGCCAAGCGAUGGAAGAGCUUAUGCAUCCCUCGCCGCCGCAGCCAAUGCAGACAAGCCCUUCGGAGCCGCUGUCGGCUGAGCCAGUGCCCGCGCAAGCCAAGUCUCACAUGGGCCUGGCUACGAUUCCGGCGUCGAGCAAGGCGACCCGGUUUCCCCUCUUGUUGGGCAAUGGCAGCUUCGGCAUUAGGUGCCUGGUGAAGGCCAACCAUUUUCAUCACCCAGCUGCCGGACAAGGAACUUCCACCACUACGAUGUGUUUCCUGGAACUAAUAGAUGGAGGGGUGUUAGGGCUGAGAUUGGGAUCGGAUGAAUUGCUCUAUCGAUUUUGUUCACUAUUGUGUAGUAGCAAUGCAUGGCAAGAACAACCAAAGCUGCUCCAUCUGAGAAACAAGAGUCAGAAUAUGUAGCUACUGUUGCAGAAGAAGGUGUAUGUACUGAAGUAGCAGACGAAACUUGUUCCUAGCAGAUUUGAGAAUUCUGGGGAUGAGAUAGAUUGCAGCAGUACACCCUAUCACCUGAUGGAGAAAAGGAGCCUAGAGAAGAACGUUUAGCUUAAACUGGAACUGAGAUAUAUGUUUUUUCAGUAUACACGCUUUUUUUACUCUUUUCAGCUAAUGAUUGUUCAGUUGUGACAAGUAAAUAAUAAUUUGUUAUCAUGUGACCAGGUACUUCACACCUUAUUAGGGAUGUCUUCUACCAAAUGGGCUUUUGACCGAUGAGGACAUAGUAGCACUCUCGGGUGACCAGGUGUGUCUUCGGCUGUAUCCUUGAAAUAUUUCACUACUUAUGUUGGAUGGAGGAUUAAUCUCAUAUUUGCAAGGGAUAUUUACUAACGAACUACCAAAAAUAUAUAGCUCUUUAUUGUCACAAGUUUUUAUAUCAAAGGCACACACGAGCAUGUCUGUUAGUAGCAUUCUGUUCGAAGUCUACGGGAUUUCAUAUGCAGAAGUGAGUAAGAAAGUAAAUAUAAGAUUGUUCUUUUCCUGCGAAAGUUUUCAUUGUGCAGGUUUGCCUACUUAAUUCAAGUAGUACUGGUGGACUAACAUCAUACAUCCAGAAUGCCAAAAGGCUUUUGGUCGAUCCAAGGCAACUUUAAGAUAUGUAGUCUGGCUGAUUAUGAAAUAUACCAGAAAGUGAGUACAGCUUAUGUUAAGUUAUAGUCCGGAGUCUUCAUGUUGAUUUAUUUGAAAUUUUGGAAUGAUUAUAAUUGGAAGUGUCACUUCAAUUUCUGAGAGUAGUUGCAUCCUAAUGAUUUACAUCCUCUUGAUGUUUUCUCUGAAAUUUUCACAUCCUAUAGAUGAACUUUUUCUACUGAAUUUUUUUAGCUGUUGGUAGUUGAUGUUCUGAAGUUGAAGCAGCUAUGGUCUACAGAUUUAUAAGUACACCACAUACUGAAGAAGUAGAUGUUUCAAUGGAUGGAUCGGGUCUUUUUGUAUCUGAACUGAUGCCGACUUGCCGCUACCAAGGAAAAUGUGGAGAACAUGUCCUUCUUUUAUGUUGAGCCCAUGUUGGUUCAUUACACAAUGCUUAUCUACACGCCAUCUGUCAUUGCUGCAAUAUCCCAAAGUACCAUAUCGGCUUGGCCGAGUUACCAAUUGAUGCUAGGGCGGCGAGAUGCAGAGGAGCCUUGGGUACAGAACUACAGGUGAAGGGAGGUGGGUGACAGGUCGAGCAACUAUGGUCAGGGUGGCUGUGUGAAGAACAGAGAGGUGGGCAAGGAAGUUUUGAACUAACUGAUGCUAUGGAGAUGAAUCAAGGAGAUUAGAGGAGAGAAGUUGAGAGAGAUUUAGGCGAUGUUCAGUAGAAGAGGAUUUUUUCUAGCUAUGUGAACCCAAGAUGUGUGAUGCUCAACAAGGUAUGUAUCUGUUUUGGAGGUCGCCCGCCUUUUGGAGCAUAUUAGACUAUGAUUUCAAUCGAUGUUGUGCUCUGGCAUCAACCUUGUAAGAUGUCACCUCUCAGUUAAUAUAGAUAUAUUAGCAUGCUAUAUGUUUUGACGACUGAA